rnacentral:rRNA from 1 species
UACGGGGAGGGCCAGUGUUAUUCAUAGUGAUUUGGCGUAAAGGGUACGUAGACGGCUUUUAAAACUUUUCAGAAGAUUCCAUAAAAAAAUUAUGGUAAUUGGAAAACAGAUAUUUAAGCUUAGAGUAAGGGUGAAGUGUGCGGUAUUUUUAGCGGAGAGGUGACAUUCUAAGAUUCUAAAAUGACCACCAACAGCGAAGGCAGCACACUAUCUCAGCACUGACGUUGAGGUACGAAGGCACGGGGAGCAAACGGG